AUGUGGGAGACCCACAUUCAAAUCCCUGCUCCACCUGAUUCGGAGCUGAACUUUUCAUCCCAAAUCGCACAGCAAGGACUUGAACCUGGGUCUCCUAGGCUCCAGCACACACACUUCCUGAAUCAAAAAGCUCAGGUUUUGACCCGAAAAACAGACAUUUUGACACAAUUCUAUGUGGAUAAAAAUGUUCCAAAUGAUCUGUUUUUGUUCCAGUAUGGAAGGAAAACAACUCUCAAAAACUUGAAAGUUGCUGCAAAAGAGAAUUGUCCUCCUCCAGCCAGCUCUGCACUGGCAUCUGCAGAACUUUGGGGGCCACCUUGGAGCUGCUCUGAGCACACCUUGGAGUUCUUCCUGAGCCCCGCAGUUCCAGCACUGGAGCCAGUGUUCUUGUCAGUCAUCUAUAUUUUCUACAGCAUGUACCUCCCCGCUUACACCUUCCCAAGAUUUGAAGCGGAGCAACUGUCUGAAUCAGAUGGAGCCCAAAGCAGCUGCAGACUUACACUAAGGAUGUCCCCCUGCUGUUUCCUAAAGCUUGGAGGGUUGAAACGGAACUACACUCAGGCAAGUCACUGGGGUUUUUCUGGGUGGUUUUUUUUUGUUUGGUUUUGUUUGGUUUUUUGUAAUGGCAGCAUCUGAGGUCACCAUAAGACCACAGCCUAGGGAAGUUUACUUGCUCUCAUUACACAGGCUCAUUUGUCCUUGAGUUAGACAGAGCUGCACAAUUCAGAUCCAGAGCUCCCCAAAGUCCUGGGGCAUUUUGUUCUGCCCUGGGACAGAGGUGAGGGCCAGCUGCAAAAUUCCUAUUCAGGCUUUGAACCAGAAGUUUGUGUGUGUGUGUGUGAGGGGGGGGGGUGAUAGUGCUGGGUUUGGGGUUUCGGUUCAGAGCCUUUUCCAGUUUAUGCCAUACUAAAAUUUUUACCUUCUGUAAAUCAUGCUGAAAGACAACAAGAGCUGUGCAGGGCCUGCAUGGGCUUCAUAAGAACCUUUCACAGCUGAAGUGUCAUUCAAAGUCUGGGGUUAAAUUGUCCCCCUCCCAAAAUUCAAAGCCAGAAUCAUUUACAAACCAGCACCUGUGGGGAAGAAUGGGACUCACACAGAAACCAGCAUCAGCUCUGCACAAAACUGAGGCUAGCCAGCACUGAGGGGCACCCAGGCAAGCUCCUGGUUCUCCUUCGCGUCCCUGACUUCUCCUCGGAGGAGGCGCUCUCUGCAGAGGAAACUGAACAUUUGGGCUGAUUGUUUUCACACAAAGGGUGGUGACUAUCUUUCAAGCACCAGGAAAGGGCAGCAGGAGAAUCCACUAGCAAAUAGGGCAGCUGGGUUCAGACUCAAGUCUCUUAUCCCCCGGCUGAACAAGGUAAGGUCCUGUUUCUGAUGUCGGCAUCCAGCCAUUUUAGUGAAGUGAAUGAGAAACAGAACUGGUCAAGAAUGGAGAAUGUUGUCCAUGAAAACUUUCAAAGUCAAUUUUGUUCCACAAAUUUUAAAAAGUAUCAAAUUUGUAUUUAUUCAA
rnacentral:lncRNA from 1 species